AAAACUUUCAACAACGGAUCUCUUGGUUCUGGCAUCGAUGAAGAACGCAGCGAAAUGCGAUAAGUAAUGUGAAUUGCAGAAUUCAGUGAAUCAUCGAAUCUUUGAACGCACAUUGCGCCCGCCAGUAUUCUGGCGGGCAUGCCUGUCCGAGCGUCAUU
rnacentral:rRNA from 16 species